rnacentral:rRNA from 1 species
UGCUAGUCGAGCGGUAGCACAGAGAGCUUGCUCUCGGGUGACGAGCGGCGGACGGGUGAGUAAUGUCUGGGAAACUGCCUGAUGGAGGGGGAUAACUACUGGAAACGGUAGCUAAUACCGCAUAACGUCGCAAGACCAAAGUGGGGGACCUUCGGGCCUCAUGCCAUCAGAUGUGCCCAGAUGGGAUUAGCUAGUAGGUGGGGUAACGGCUCACCUAGGCGACGAUCCCUAGCUGGUCUGAGAGGAUGACCAGCCACACUGGAACUGAGACACGGUCCAGACUCCUACGGGAGGCAGCAGUGGGGAAUAUUGCACAAUGGGCGCAAGCCUGAUGCAGCCAUGCCGCGUGUAUGAAGAAGGCCUUCGGGUUGUAAAGUACUUUCAGCGGGGAGGAAGGCGAUAAGGUUAAUAACCUUGUCGAUUGACGUUACCCGCAGAAGAAGCACCGGCUAACUCCGUGCCAGCAGCCGCGGUAAUACGGAGGGUGCAAGCGUUAAUCGGAAUUACUGGGCGUAAAGCGCACGCAGGCGGUCUGUCAAGUCGGAUGUGAAAUCCCCGGGCUCAACCUGGGAACUGCAUUCGAAACUGGCAGGCUAGAGUCUUGUAGAGGGGGGUAGAAUUCCAGGUGUAGCGGUGAAAUGCGUAGAGAUCUGGAGGAAUACCGGUGGCGAAAGCGGCCCCCUGGACAAAGACUGACGCUCAGUGCGAAAGCGUGGGGAGCAAAACAGGAUUAGAUACCCUGGUAGUCCACGCCGUAAACGAUGUCGAUUUGGAGGUUGUGCCCUUGAGGCGUGGCUUCCGGAGCUAACGCGUUAAAUCGACCGCCUGGGGGAGUACGGCCGCAAGGUUAAAACUCCAAUGAAUUUGACCGGGGCCCCGCACAAGCCGGUGGGAGCAUG